rnacentral:tRNA from 1 species
UGGGUCGUUAGCUCAGUUGGUAGAGCAGUUGACUUUUAAUCAAUUGGUCGCAGGUUCGAAUCCUGCACGGUUGGU